UACGUAGGGCGCAAGCGUUAUCCGGAAUUAUUGGCGUAAAGAGCUCGUAGGCGGUUUGUCGCGUCUGCCGUGAAAGUCCGGGCUCAACUCCGGAUCUGCGGUGGUACGGGCAGACUAGAGUGAUGUAGGGGAGACUGGAAUUCCUGGUGUAGCGGUGAAAUGCGCAGAUAUCAGGAGGAACACCGAUGGCGAAGGCAGGUCUCUGGCAUAACUGACGCUGAGGAGCGAAAGCAUGGGGAGCGAACAGG
rnacentral:rRNA from 1 species